CAUUAUUUCAAGCAGUUCUAGUAAACGUGAAAGUAAGUGCAGAGAGUGUUAAGUUAAUUAUUAAUGAUGGUGAUGACGAUCAUGAUGAUGAUGGCUAUUAUUAUUAUUAGAUUUGACAUCACACGGCACAUUUGCUCAGUAAUAUAUAUGUGGUUGUAAUACCAUACUUCAGUUCAACAGUUUGAGAGUUUGCGGAGUUCAGUACAUCUAUCUUUAGAUCAGGAGAAAUCCCAAUUGAUGUAAUCUCAGUGAAUGGAAAGGUUGACUUACGAUGUGGCUCCAAAAGAAAAGGUGGACCCAAUAGAAAGUGAAUUUAUGAUCUAGAAGAAGACAUAACACCGAUGAAUGUUAAAAAUCAUACUAAACCGAUUUACCGAUUUUUAAGUGAAUCAAGAACUAUAUUCACUUCUAAGUACACUUAAAGGAUCCAAGUCCCAAUUGCCAUUCAGUUUAAAACAAUAACUUAUGGCCAGGUUGUAAUAGUUCGCUUCGUGCACCUAUUUGUUGGAGCUCUGACGAGGUGGACGAGAUCUCGCUCACCCACGAUUACCCAUUAAGUUCUGCAAAUUCAAACUUACAUGUACAAGUGUGUCUAUUAGUGGGUAAUAUUUCAAACCACCUUGGAAGAUAUAUACUCGCCAAUUCAAUUAAAAGACGAAAUUGUGCGUGAAACAAAGUAUAUUUUGUUACUUGUGAUAAAUGGUUUUUUAUAAAAAUAAAACACACAGAUCAUCUCUGUAGCCUAAA